rnacentral:rRNA from 1 species
GACAGAGGUGCCAAGCGUUAGGCGGAAUCACUGGGCUUAAAGCGUGUGUAGGCGGAAUGGUAAGUACCUUGUGAAAUCCCACGGCUCAACCGUGGAACUGCUUGGUAUACUGGGUGUCUUGAGCCAUCUAGGGGCUACCGGAACAAAUGGUGGAGCGGUGAAAUGCGUAGAUAUCAUUUGGAACGCCAAUGGUGAAAACAGGUAGCUGGGGAUGUGCUGACGCUGAGACACGAAAGCCAGGGGAGCAAACGGG